UACGGGGGGGGUAAGCGUUGUUCGGAAUUACUGGGCGUAAAGGGCUCGUAGGCGGCCAACUAAGUCAUACGUGAAAUCCCUCAGCUUAACUGGGGAACUGCGUGUGAUACUGGAUGGCUUGGAUUUGGGAGAGGGAUGCGGAAUUCCAGGUGUAGCGGUGAAAUGCGUAGAUAUCGGAAGGAACACCAGUGGCGAAGGCGGCUACCUGGACAGACACUGACGCUGAGGCGCGAGAGCGUGGGGAGCAAACAGG
rnacentral:rRNA from 1 species